UACGAAGGGAGCUAGCGUUGUUCGGAAUCACUGGGCGUAAAGCGCACGUAGGCGGAUGUGUCAGUCAGGGGUGAAAUCCCGGAGCUCAACUUCGGAACUGCCUUUGAUACAGCACAUCUGGAGUCCGGAAGAGGUGGGUGGAAUUCCUAGUGUAGAGGUGAAAUUCGUAGAUAUUAGGAAGAACACCGGUGGCGAAGGCGGCCCACUGGUCCGGUACUGACGCUGAGGUGCGAAAGCAUGGGGAGCGAACAGG
rnacentral:rRNA from 1 species